UACGGAGGGAGCUAGCGUUGUUCGGAAUUACUGGGCGUAAAGCGCACGUAGGCGGCUUUGUAAGUUAGGGGUGAAAGCCCGGAGCUCAACUCCGGAAUUGCCUUUAAGACUGCAUCGCUUGAAUCCGGGAGAGGUGAGUGGAAUUCCGAGUGUAGAGGUGAAAUUCGUAGAUAUUCGGAAGAACACCAGUGGCGAAGGCGGCUCACUGGACCGGUAUUGACGCUGAGGUGCGAAGGCGUGGGGAGCGAACGGG
rnacentral:rRNA from 1 species